GUAGUCGUUCAGUCUAUUCCCUUUUGAAAUAUUGGUGCCAUCUGAAUAUCUUCCAGCUUUGGGGUCAAUGAGGAGUUGAGGACAUAUAGAAUAAAAAACAGAAAUAGUAUUAAAAUUUUAUUAUCAGUGUGACGCACGACACGCCCUAGCAAAUAAACUAGCAUUAAAUGUUAAAAGCAAUGAUGGGUUCUUAAAAUAAAUUAAUCUUCCAUUGAUGCAAAAUAUUGUGACGGUGGUUAACCCUGCACAGUUAGAGAUAUUGAAAUGUUUGUGAACAUCAUGCAUCUCAACGUUCUUACAACAAAAGGAAUACUUAGACAACCAAGCUUUGGUUACUAUUCACUGACCUUUUAAACCACAAUGCCUUACAUAAAUUCAAACAUGAAUAAUAUAAAUCCAAGACUGUGUGACAAAAUAAACAAUAAUACUAUUUUAUAGCUUACAAGUAAAAUAUUUGAAUAAUAAAGGCUUUGCAAAUUGUAUUUAAUUUCAAGAAAAGUGUCAAGUUAGUUAUACACUAGUGACAUACAACCAAUAGUACGUCGACAUAAAGGCAUCUCAAGCAUUCAAUAUUAAUCUAUGAUAGAUUGAUCUCAGUACCUUAAUAAUA
rnacentral:lncRNA from 1 species